rnacentral:rRNA from 1 species
CCCUUAGAGUUUGAUCCUGGCUCAGGGCUAACGCUGGCGGCGCGCCUAACACAUGCAAGUCGAACGAACCCUUCGGGGUUAGUGGCAGACGGGUGAGUAACGCGUGGAUAAUGUGCCUUUUUGCUGGGGAUACCGUUUCGAAAGGAACGUUAAUACCGAAUGUGCUCGACUGGUGGCAUCACCGGAUGAGUAAACUGUUAGGGUGAAAAGAGCAGUCCGCGUUCUAUCAGCUUGUUGGUGGGGUAACGGCCUACCAAGGCUACGACGGAUAACUGGUCUGAGAGGAUGAUCAGUCACACUGGAACUGAGACACGGUCCAGACUCCUACGGGAGGCAGCAGUGAGGAAUCUUGCACAAUGGGCGAAAGCCUGAUGCAGCGACGCCGCGUGAGGGACGAAGGCCUUCGGGUUGUAAACCUCUGUCAGUAGGGAAGAAGAUUGACGGUACCUACUGAGGAAGCUUCGGCUAACUACGUGCCAGCAGCCGCGGUAAGACGUAGGAAGCAAGCGUUGCCCGGAAUUACUGGGCGUAAAGAGCUCGUAGGCGGGGGCGUGCGUCCGAAAGGAAAUCUCAGGGCUCAACCCUGGGGCUUUUUCGGAUACGGCGCUUCUUGAGGGUGAGAGAGGAAAGCGGAAUUCCAGGUGUAGCGGUGAAAUGCGUAGAUAUCUGGAGGAACACCAGCGGC